rnacentral:rRNA from 1 species
CACGUAGGGCGCAAGCGUUGUCCGGAAUUAUUGGGCGUAAAGAGCUCGUAGGCGGUCUGUUGCGUCCGCUGUGAAAACUCGGGGCUUAACCCCGAGCCUGCAGUGGAUACGGGCAGACUAGAGGUAGGUAGGGGAGAAUGGAAUUCCCGGUGUAGCGGUGAAAUGCGCAGAUAUCGGGAGGAACACCGGUGGCGAAGGCGGUUCUCUGGGCCGAAAUUGACGCUGAGGAGCGAAAGCGUGGGGAGCAAACAGG